UUCGGGGGAACCCCUGCCUGCGCCCGGGGAUCCGCGUGGCCCCGGAGCAUCCUCGACCGGGCAGCCUCGGGGCAGGUACCCUUGGCAGGGCGACCGCGCAAGCGCCGGGUGACUCACCUGGCGCUCCUCGGCCCCGACUCUGCCGGCCACCCGGAGGCCACCCUGACCGCAGUUUGCCAGGUGCCCAACCAUCAGUUUCCCCUCGAACGCUCUUCUCCCGACCACUGCCACGCGCGAGGGGCGCGCCCACCCUUCCCGGCCGCGCACAGAAACACGGGAGCUCCCCCACGUGUCGCCCCCAGCCCCGCCCUCACCGUGAGCCCCUCCAGCCGGGGAGUGAAGCAGGUGCUUCCUUCCUUGCUCCCAGUCGCCUCCCAACCACCUCUCCUCUUCCUCCUGCAAAGGCCCCAGCGCCCCUCGAGUUCUGCCGAUGGGUGUGACGUCUGCUGCUCUUGCGGGCCUUGUCACCCACCCCCUUCUGUCACCCAACUCCUGCCGGGUUCCAUCCGACCCCCCCCACCCGACCCUUCACUGAAGAUUUGGUUCCUGGCUCACGGUAUUCCUGGCCACCCCUUUCCUAUCUCAUCUCUGGGGUCUUCAGCACCCAGGUGGGUGGCCGGCCUGUCUGUGUCCCUCGGCGACUCCUUCCCGAAGGGAAUCCCUAGAACCUGUUAUGACCUGAAACUGCACUGUCUCCAAAACCUGCAUCACAGGCGUCCCCACUCCGCCCAACACCUCUUGUCCCUACCGAUAGGCCGCUGGCUUCAUGUGCCCUCCUCAUGGGCCCCGAGCUCCUGACCCCACGUGCUCACUGCAGUCCACACUGCUGUGUGCCCGCUUGCCUCUUGACCAGACUGGAUCUGGUGAGUUCUCUUACUUGGUGCCGUGCCACGUUCCCUUGCAGUGACGCUGGCAAGGCCCAAGAAAGAGCUGGGUUUUGCUCUCUGCCGUGCUUUCACACCCCUACCAACAAAACCCGCCUCCACUCCCCUCUUCACCUUUCUGUGGAAAUUGACCUCACACUGCUCUCAGGAAACUGCAGCCCAAAGCACAAACUUUCAUGUUUGCACUACCCCCCUUCUAGCCAAGGCCGGGCCUCUACAGUGCUCUAGAGCAAUCCAUGCCCAGCUGAGUAAUGCACUACCCCCCCCCCCCCCCCGCCCCCAGAUAUCCAGGUCCUAAUCCCCGGGGGACCUCUGAGCCUUACCUGAUAGGACAAAUAAGACUUUGUGGAUGUAAUUAGAUUAAGGAUCUUGAGGUGGGGAGAUUAUUCUGGAACAUCUACAUAAAAUGUAAUCACAGGUGUUUUUAGAAGGGAAAAACGGAGGGAAAUUUGACUACAGGAGGCAGGCAGAGCACAGAAAGAUUCGAAGAUGCUCCGUGGCUGGCUUUGAAGUGGAGGGAGGGACAAUGAGCGAGGAAUGCAGCUCUGAAAACCAGAAAGCAGAGACAUGGACUCUCCCCUCGGGCUCAAAGGAGGGAUCUUUGGCCCUACUGACAAUGUGACUUUGGUCCAGUGAAGCUAAUCUUGGACUUCUGAACCCCAGAAAUGGCCCAGGCGAGGUCUCUCAGAGCCGUGGCUGUGGCUGUGGUCACCAUGGGACCCACGCUGGUGACUCCAAGGUGCAUAUACCAGCAGAGACCUUCCUCCGAGCUCUCACUGUCGUCACUACCACCACUCGUUUAUCUUCCCCACGUGGCCCUAACCGAGCUCAGGACUCCCCAUAGCAUCUGCUCCUCCUUCAGCUUCUCCACCUUGAUGCACGUGCUAAGUUAGCUCACUGGCCUUGCCCAGCAGCCCCGUGAAGGCCAGCCCUCUCCGUCACGCUCACCGCUCUCUCCCUAGAGCCCAAAGGCCUGGCACAUGGUAGACGCUCAAGUGCUGGGUGAAGGAGCCCAUCUCCCAGCCCAUGUCUCUUUCCCAGUCUCCAGGAAGACUAAACGACUUACCCUUUCGGAACCCCACCUCUGAGCAACCUGGUUUUCAGCUCGAGAAAGCCUAAGAAUGGAGAAAUGGAGUUUUUAUACGAUGAACUGAACCUAACUCUCUCAGGGAAGACUUUCCUGACCCCCAGCAGGGGUCGGCCCUCACCCCCACGAUGCUCUCACAAUACCCAUCCUUUCUACCCUUGAAGAGAACAGUCAUUAUUGGUUUGUAUAACUCUUUGUUUAGUGUCGGGCUUCCCCUGUGGACUCCAUGGGGCCAGGGUUGUGAGCACGAUGCCUGGUACAGGCACUUCUGCGUGUCUGCUGAAUGAAUACACGAGGGAUUAAACGAAAAGUCACAGCUGUUUGCUCUCAGAUGAGGGCUUCCUUCAGCUGGGGCCCUUAAAAUCACAGCCUUGUCCCCAGCAGAUAAGGCUAUAGGCCCGGAGGCGAGGAUCAAGUAUCACCCCCGAACAAAUAGUGCUGCUGCGCUGCCCUUUACUGUAAACCCGUAGCCUUCAGAGAGCUGUGCGCUCAUCCCAACAGCAGCCCCAAGGGGUGCGACGCCUCUUGUUCGUAAAGCUGUCCUCAUCCCAGGGAGUGCAAUCAGAGCUGAAGCGGGAGCAGUUGCUAUUGAGGUAAAACUGCAGCCUGCGUUGUCCACCUGAGAGUAAAAUGUGACCCCGGCAGGUUGUCACUUUGGGAAGAGGACCCCACGGAACAUUUUGUUAAUACAGAAACUAAAAUGCCACCAUUGGAACCACUUUAACAGGUGCAUCCUGAGUUAUUACGGGGCUGAAACUGCUACUUUUAGGCAGGUACUGAGAGCAUUCACAUCCUGUGGUUCUGUCGGUCAGAACAUUCUGGAAGGUGCAGCUGAAGGAGAGAAACCACUUUUCUCAAUGAGCUUUUGUGACUGUUCCAAUGUGACUGUUGAGGGAGAGGGCCGCGCUAGAGGACUGCUCUCGUCGGGGAGCGUCUACAGAGGCAGUCUCAAGACUGAGGCAGCCUCCCAGCCUGGAUCACUCAGAGGAGCAGAGCUAUUCUCAGUGUUUGAAAAAGGCCCACAGAGAUGUGACAGUGACUUGCUGGCCUGCUGACAUCCUUGGGCAACACGGCCCACCUCCUGCUGAACAAAUUAUUCAGCAUGAGGAGAGACACUGGGACCUGGCAGAUUCAGCUCAAAACCCAUGUUGGGGGGGACUGGGGGGCUGGGGGACCCAGCGGCUGAGCACCUGCCUUGGGCUCAGGUUAUGAUCCUGGGGUCCCGGGAUCGAGUCCCGCAUGGGGCUCCACACGGGGAGCCUGCUUCUCCCUCCG